rnacentral:rRNA from 1 species
AGACCCGAAACCCGGUGAUCUAGCCAUGGGCAGGUUGAAGGUUGGGUAACACUAACUGGAGGACCGAACCGACUAAUGUUGAAAAAUUAGCGGAUGACCUGUGGCUGGGGGUGAAAGGCCAAUCAAACCGGGAGAUAGCUGGUUCUCCCCGAAAGCUAUUUAGGUAGCGCCUCGUGAAUUCAUCUCCGGGGGUAGAGCACUGUUUCGGCUAGGGGGCCAUCCCGGCUUACCAACCCGAUGCAAACUGCGAAUACCGGAGAAUGUUAUCACGGGAGACACACGGCGGGUGCUAACGUCCGUCGUGAAGAGGGAAACAACCCAGACCGCCAGCUAAGGUCCCAAAGUCAUGGUUAAGUGGGAAACGAUGUGGGAAGGCCCAGACAGCCAGGAUGUUGGCUUAGAAGCAGCCAUCAUUUAAAGAAAGCGUAAUAGCUCACUGGUCGAGUCGGCCUGCGCGGAAGAUGUAACGGGGCUAAACCAUGCACCGAAGCUGCGGCAGCGACGCUGAUGCGUUGUUGGGUAGGGGAGCGUUCUGUAAGCCUGUGAAGGUGGCCUGU